rnacentral:rRNA from 1 species
CUCGCAAGAGCAAAGCAGGGGGACCUUCGGGCCUUGCGCUACCGGAUAUGCCCAGGUGGGAUUAGCUAGUUGGUGAGGUAAGGGCUCACCAAGGCGACGAUCCCUAGCUGGUCUGAGAGGAUGAUCAGCCACACUGGAACUGAGACACGGUCCAGACUCCUACGGGAGGCAGCAGUGGGGAAUAUUGCACAAUGGGCGCAAGCCUGAUGCAGCCAUGCCGCGUGUAUGAAGAAGGCCUUCGGGUU